UUUCUGAGAGAAACCCAACGACCGAAGCCACAAAGUCAGAAUCGCAAUCGGCAACGGCAUCAGAGCCAACGUUUGGAGAGAUUUCUUAAACCGCUUCGGAAACAUUCAAAUCUUGGAGCUUUACGGAGCAACAGAGGGUAACAUCAUUUUAAUGAAUUACUCUGGAAAGAUCGGAGCGGUGGGACGAGACAACUUCUUGCAUAAAUGGAGUUUUCCCUUCGCACUGAUCAAGUAUGAUGUGGAACAGG